rnacentral:rRNA from 1 species
UACGGGGGGGGCAAGCGUUGUUCGGAAUUACUGGGCGUAAAGGGCUCGUAGGUGGCCAACUAAGUCAGACGUGAAAUCCCCAGGCUCAACUUGGGAACUGCGUCUGAUACUGGAUGGCUUGAAUUCGGGAGAGGGAUGCAGAAUUCCAGGUGUAGCGGUGAAAUGCGUAGACAUCUGGAGGAAUACCGGUGGCGAAGGCGGCAUCCUGGACCGAUAUUGACACUGAUGAGCGAAAGCUAGGGGAGCAAACGGG